rnacentral:rRNA from 1 species
GAACUAAGCAUUUCAAUAAGCGGAGGAAAAGAACCCACCAGGGAUUCCCUUAGUACCGGCGAGUAAAGCGGGACCAGCUCAAAUUUGAAAUCUGGCCCUCGGGUCCGAGUUGUAAUUUGUAGAGGAUGCUUUUGGUGCGGUGCCUUCCGAGUUCCCUGGAACGGGACGCCUUAGAGGGUGAGAGCCCCGUACGGUUGGACGCCUAGCCUCUGUAAAGCUCCUUCGACGAGUCGAGUAGUUUGGGAAUGCUGCUCUAAAUGGGAGGUAUAUUUCUUCUAAAGCUAAAUACUGGCCAGAGACCGAUAGCGCACAAGUAGAGUGAUCGAAAGAUGAAAAGCACUUUGAAAAGAGGGUUAAAUAGCACGUGAAAUUGUUGAAAGGGAAGCGUUUAUCACCAGACUUUUUCUAGGGGGAUCAUCCGGUGUUCUCACCGGUGCACUUCCCCUAGUUGAGGCCAGCAUCGGUUUUCGGAGGGGGAUAAAAGUUUCGGGAAUGUGACUCCCCCGGGAGUGUUAUAGCCCGUUACAUAAUACCCUUCUGGGGACCGAGGUUCGCGCAUCUGCAAGGAUGCUGGCAUAAUGGUGAUCAACGACCCGUCUUGAAACACGGACCAAGGAGUCGAACAUUUAUGCGAGUGUUUGGGUGUCAAACCCUCACGCGUAAUGAAAGUGAACGGAGGUGAGAGCCCUUACGGGUGCAUCAUCGACCGAUCCUGAUGUCUUCGGAUGGAUUUGAGUAAGAGCAUAACUGUUCGGACCCGAAAGAUGGUGAACUAUGCGUGGAUAGGGUGAAGCCAGGAGAAAUCCUGGUGGAGGCUCGCAGCGGUUCUGACGUGCAAAUCGAUCGUCAAAUCUGCGCAUGGGGGCGAAAGACUAAUCGACCUCUCGACGUCCG